rnacentral:lncRNA from 1 species
UGUGUGACAAUGUGUUCUCUUUCAUCUGCAAAACAACCACCCCCAUGUUAGCUGGAAAGUGAGUUUUUGUACUCUUCUGUAUGUCCUACCCAUUAUGUUGUGUUUCUUCCUGUGAGUUUCAGCAAAUCCAUCAUGUCCUCUUGGGUUAUCAUUGUGAAAUGAUUCAACCUGUUAUUGUAGGAAAAUGAUCAUUGAAUCCUUUGCUUCGGUGGCCAUGUUUCUCUUCAUCUGCCAUCUGCUUGAAGGUUUUAAGAUGAAAUUAAGCUAUAUGGUGUUUCAUCACAAAAGUUUGAAGUGAUGAUACGCAUCCAUCCUAACUAUCAAUAAAUAGUGUAAUCUCAUUCAAUAACAAUGUCGACAACAGUACAUCAUGGGAUUUUUAUUUACAUGAAGAAUUUCAAACAGAGCACCAGUUUCUCACUUUAUUGUACUUACUACUAAUGUUCAUUAUGGAUGCAAAGUGACACUCCAAUUUUGAAUUAGGAACCAGAUAAAUCAUGAAAAAAUUUAAUGAAUAUUAAUUAUGGUUAGAUGUCUUCUGUAGUCUCCUCAGUUCCUUUUAUGUAUAAAAAACAUACAUCAGAAUAAACAUGAAUAUAAAUUUCUCCCAUGAUGGAUUCCAUUCAGCUACAUUGGUAAGAAUAUUGAGUAUUUUCCACUAAGAGAAUUGUCAUAUAUCUGGAAAUAGUUUGGAUUCUAUUAUAUGAAUCUAUUGUGAUGUCUCUUCCAAGAAUGCAUGUAAUAUGGAGCUACUGACAGAACACUAUUCACCUGCCUUGCGUCCUGCAGCUAAGACAGUCUUAAGGAAUAAACCCUGAUGGACUGAUAGUCACAUCAUGUUGUAGUGUGGCCAUGCAGAAAACUUAGGUGCUAUAACCUAAGCAGUCAGGCAUUAGAAUGUUAGGAAUUGAUGCAGCAAUAGAUCAAACUCAUCUUGUGUAAAUCCCAAGAAAACGAGGAAUCACUAUCCAGAUAUCAUCAAGAUAUUUUGGUGAGAUAAAAUAAGUUGCUGAUUCAAUAUUGAUUAACAAUUUAAUUUCCUUUUUUACCUUAUUUAGGAUCCACACAUUACAACAGAAUCAUGAAAAUGGCAAUAAUAUGAACUAACAAAGUUAUUUCAUCUUUUUCUUCUCUAGUUGCUGAACAAAGUCUAAAGAUAAAACUGACUGUAAAAUAUGCUUCAAGUCCCAUCUUUCUUUUAAAGGGAUUGACAGCACAAUAUCAACAAUGGAAAUUUAAGAAUAAACUAAACUUGGGAUCAUCAUAGAUCAUGUUCUUGGCUGCAUGCCAUUGAUUUGACAAAUGGAGCCCAUCCAUGUGUUGUGGUAAUGCCUCCAAAUGAUCAAACCCAUUGGUGUAAAUUACCAUGGACAAUGUAUUGACACUCUCAUGACCCUUCAUACAUUAGUCCAUCUCCAGUCUACUCACUCCACCAAUCAUGAAGUGUGCUCCAUACCUUCAUGCAUUGAUGAAUAUGAUGAGGCUAAACUAAACGACAUAUAUUAUCGACUGGUGAAGACAGAACUCCAAGAUUUAGAUAUAAACAAUCAUAAUACUCGCCAACUAGUUAAUCGGGUAAGUGGAAGAAUGAUAUAAUGGACUGCAUUACGCGUGAUCAGCAAUCCUAUCGUCUAAAUCUAAUUCAGAGUCAACCAUCUCCAACCAAUUUGCUACUUGUCUUUUUCCUCGUGAUCAUACCGUAAAUCCAUGGGAAUGAAUUGGAGAGAAGAAAACGAUCGCUGUUCUAUAUCACAGUAGAUCCGCUGCUCCAUGUCGCACUUACUGAGUCACGAGUAAAGUCAUGAACUAAGGGUGCACAUCCAGGGACACCAGGAUAGGUCUGGGGGCAGUGCGCUCACGAGUAAAGUCAUGAACUAAGGGUGCACAUCCAGGGACACCAGGAUAGGUCUGGGGGCAGUGCGCUUCCACAUCCUCCAGACAUGACGCAUGUUCAAAAAAGGUCUGUCAUUCAAUGAUCCUAAAGACCAUAGUAGUGUUAUGUAACUAAAUGUGUCGGCUAUGAGCUAUUUCAACAUAACUUGGAUGAACCUAGUCACAUAUAUGUCAGAUAGGAAAUAAAUAAAUUUUAAUGCUUCAUCUAUCACUGUAAAAUUUAAAAAUACAUAUAAAUUUUACAUCUGUGCAGCCAUAUAAUAAUAAAUCAAAUGGAAAUGCACAGAGAAACUACAUACACAAAAUCAUAUUAUCAAAUAACCAACCAACAAAAGACAUUGUUUAGCACCAAGAGAAUAAGAAUUAAACAAUUCACCUAUAUCUAUUAUCUCUACAAAUAAAUUCAUAAAUGG